UUAUACUUUGUUCUUGGCAUUGAAUUCACAACAAUUUGUAAAGAAAAAAUUCAGAGUUCCUCACCAUACAUGUACAACACCAAAUAAUUUUCCAACCUUAUUCAUACAUUGCUAACAAUUGACCAACUGACCCUUAUUCUAUUCAAUAACAAUCCUAACCAUUCGUACAUAAAUCUCAUACCUAGUAAAGCUUUCAAAACCUUGUUUCAAACCAUAAAUUCAAAAUUGUUCAAAGUGUUUUUUUGCAGGAAAUAAUAAAAACAAAAAAAACAAAAAAACGGUGGAGUAAUUCUAAGAUGAUUUUCACAAAUUAUCUCUUUUGUUUGUUUUUGUAGGAAUAGGAAGAAGGUCACGAACAUGAAAAGAAGAAGAGGAAUCGGACUCCGACGCACCACCACGGGGCAGCCAUCGCGAUUCCACCGCCCAGCCACGCCACUCACAAAUCGACGACGGUCAACAAUACAAUACCGAAGCCCCCUCUCCGAUUCGGAUCCGGCCAUCGCUGAACCAACCAAUCUCAUCACACAUCUCCGACGCGCACAUCCUCCAACAGCUAUCAGAUCAAUUCCUCCAUUCAGCGUACCGCACCACCGACAACCAUCCCAUUUACGAGACCUCCUCAGAGCAUCCACGGCCGUUCCGCUUUGGAUCCCAAGCUUGUGCACAGGUUCUUGGUAUGUAGCAAGUGGACUCGAACAUGGCUUGAAGUUUGAAGACAGAAUGGCGCAUUCGAAGAAGACUUUGACGCAUUUUUUUAUGUAAUUCUCUUUGUAACAAUGAAUGUAAUGAUCUUUUAGCUUGAAUUUGUAAAUGAUGUAGGCUUUUUGUAAAUAAUGAGCUUGUAAUGAUUGAGGACCCUUGCAACGGUUUUAAAUUUGAAUUCUUGGAAUUUGUA